ensembl:lncRNA
AGACAGGUCAUUAAGGAGCAGGUAGGGGUUAGACAGUACAGAGACAGGUCAUUAAGGAGCAGGUAGGGGUUAGACAGUACAGAGACAGGUCAUUAAGGAGCAGGUAGGGGUUAGACAGUACAGAUAUAUGUCAUGAAGGAGCAGGUAGAGUUAAGGUGCUUCUUGCCCCAGGAGGCCUACUGGUAGUUGGACUGGAUAAUGGGAAUUGAACAAAAUACCUCUUCGCCAACCACUUCACCAUCUAUGUGCGCCCGGGGGAAAGUGUUUAAUGUUUAAUGUGUUUGACAGUAAAGUUAAUAAG